UACGUAGGGGGCAAACGUUGUCCGGAAUCAUUGGGCGUAAAGCGCGUGUAGGCGGCUCGGUAAGUCUGCUGUGAAAGUCCAGGGCUCAACCCUGGGAUGCCGGUGGAUACUGUCGAGCUCGAGUCCGGAAGAGGCGAGUGGAAUUCCUGGUGUAGCGGUGAAAUGCGCAGAUAUCAGGAGGAACACCAAUGGCGAAGGCAGCUCGCUGGGACGUGACUGACGCUGAGACGCGAAAGCGUGGGGAGCAAACAGG
rnacentral:rRNA from 1 species